rnacentral:rRNA from 1 species
AGAAUUGAUCUGGUCAGGAUGAACGCUAGCGACAGGCUUAACACAUGCAAGUCGAGGGGCAGCAUAGAAGUAGCAAUACUUGGUGGCGACCGGCGCACGGGCGAGUAACGCGUAUGCAACCUACCUAUCAGAGGGGAAUAACCCGGCGAAAGUCGGACUAAUACCGCAUAAAACAGGGGCACCGCAUGGUGAUAUUUGUUAAAGAAAUUCGCUGAUAGAUGGGCAUGCGUUCCAUUAGGUAGUUGGUGAGGUAACGGCUCACCAAGCCGACGAUGGAUAGGGGAACUGAGAGGUUGGUCCCCCACACUGGUACUGAGACACGGACCAGACUCCUACGGGAGGCAGCAGUGAGGAAUAUUGGUCAAUGGGCGGGAGCCUGAACCAGCCAAGUCGCGUGAAAGGAAGAAGGAUCUAUGGUUCGUAAACUUCUUUUGCAGGGGAAUAAAGUGCAGGACGUGUCCUGUUUUGUAUGUACCCUGAGAAUAAGGAUCGGCUAACUCCGUGCCAGCAGCAGC